UGAAGUUAAAGNCAUUGGCUCAACCAAUGUAUGCUUUGGAAACUGUUAGACUUGAGUGCAGAAGGGGAGAGUGGAAUUCCAUGUGUAGCGGUGAAAUGCGUAGAUAUAUGGAGGAACACCGGUGGCGAAAGCGGCUCUCUGGUCUGUCGCUGACGCUGAGGCUCGAAAGCGUGGGUAGCGAACAGGAUUAGAUACCCUGGUAGUCCACGCCGUAAACGCUGAGUGCUAGGUGUUAGGUCCUUUCCGGGACUUAGUGCCGACGCUAACGCAUUAAGCACUCCGCCUGGGGAGUACGACCGCAAGGUUGAAACUCAAGGGAAUUGACGGGGGCCCGCACAAGCGGUGGAGCAUGUGGUUUAAUUCGAAGCAACGCGAAGAACCUUACCAGGUCUUGACAUCCCGAUGCCCGCUCUAGAGAUAGAGUUUUACUUUUUGUACAUCGGAGACAGGUGGUGCAUGGUUGUCGUCAGCUCGUGUCGUGAGAUGUUGGGUUAAGUCCCGCAACGAGCGCAACCCUUAUUGUUAGUUGCCAUCAUUAAGUUGGGCACUCUAGCGAGACUGCCGGUAAUAAACCGGAGGAAGGUGGGGAUGACGUCAAAUCAUCAUGCCCCUUAUGACCUGGGCUACACACGU
rnacentral:rRNA from 1 species